GGGUUCACCCAUUGGUCAGGCUUAAUUGUCUGCACUGGUGAGAUGAGUCUCUACCUUCUGAGGAACUUUCAUGUCAUUAAUUUGGUGUGAUUGGAAAUCAGGACUGUUACUUUGGAAAAAUUAGAGUGUUCAAAGCAGGCCUAUGCCUGAAUACGUUAGCAUGGAAUAAUGGAAUAGGACGUGCGGUUCUAUUUUGUUGGUUUCUAGAGUCGCCGUA
rnacentral:rRNA from 1 species